CGCUUCCGGGAGGGACAAGAGUAGGGAAUCUUCCGCAAUGGACGAAAGUCUGACGGAGCAACGCCGCGUGAGUGAUGAAGGUUUUCGGAUCGUAAAGCUCUGUUGUUAGGGAAGAACAAGUACCGUUCAAAUAGGGCGGCACCUUGACGGUACCUAACCAGAAAGCCACGGCUAACUACGUGCCAGCAGCCGCGGUAAUACGUAGGUGGCAAGCGUUGUCCGGAAUUAUUGGGCGUAAAGGGCUCGCAGGCGGUUUCUUAAGUUUGAUGUGAAAGCCCCCGGCUCAACCGGGGAGGGUCAUUGGAAACUGGGGAACUUGAGUGCAGAAGAGGAGAGUGGAAUUCCACGUGUAGCGGUGAAAUGCGUAGAGAUGUGGAGGAACACCAGUGGCGAAGGCGGCUUUCUGGUCCGUAACCCCUCUGAGGAGCGAAAUCUUGGGGAGCGAACCGGAUUAGAUACCCUGGUAGUCCACGCCGUAAACGAUUAGUGCUAAGGGGCCGGGCGUUUACGCCAUUUUG
rnacentral:rRNA from 1 species